rnacentral:snRNA from 1 species
CUGCUCCGGCAGUACAUAUGCUAAAAUUCGAACGAUACAGAGAAGAUUAGCAUGGCCCUUGCGCAAGGAUGACACGC